GAUGAACGCUGGCGGCGUGCCUAAUACAUGCAAGUCGAGCGAACGGACGAGAAGCUUGCUUCUCUGAUGUUAGCGGCGGACGGGUGAGUAACACGUGGAUAACCUACCUAUAAGACUGGGAUAACUUCGGGAAACCGUAGCUAAUACCGGAUAAUAUUUUGAACCGCAUGGUUCAAAAGUGAAAGACGGUCUUGCUGUCACUUAUAGAUGGAUCCGCGCUACAUUAGCUAGUUGGUAAGGUAACGGCUUACCAAGGCAACGAUGCAUAGCCGACCUGAGAGGGUGAUCGGCCACACUGGAACUGAGACACGGUCCAGACUCCUACGGGAGGCAGCAGUAGGGAAUCUUCCGCAAUGGGCGAAAGCCUGACGGAGCAACGCCGCGUGAGUGAUGAAGGUCUUCGGAUCGUAAAACUCUGUUAUUAGGGAAGAACAUAUGUGUAAGUAACUGUGCACAUCUUGACGGUACCUAAUCAGAAAGCCACGGCUAACUACGUG
rnacentral:rRNA from 1 species